GUAGCGAAAUACCUCGUCACUUAAUUAGUGACUGCAUGAACGGAGCUAUGAGGUCUCACUGUCCCAAACUGUCUCUCAGCGAACCAACUGUAGUGGGAACGGUCACUAGAUAUCCAGCGGGGAAAGAAGACCCUGUAGAGCUUCACUUUGGUCUAGUCUUGUAUAGUUCCUGCGGGGGUGUAGACUAGGUGGGAGAGCAAUCGAUUCUGAAAAACCACUACCCUGUUUGGAAUUAUGCUUACCUAUCACAAGGAAUAGGACUAGAUAGAAAGUUUGGCUGGGGCGGCACACCUUCGAAAGAGCAGCGAAGGUGUCCUAAGUUGAGCUCAGUGAGGACAGAAAUCUCACGUUGAGGAUAAGGCCAAAAGCUCAAUUUACUGUGCCUUUUUGUACUAGGAUCAGUUACGAAAGUAAGGCCUAACGAUCCCUAAAUAGCCUCAGGUGCGUGAGGAUUGGGGUGACAGACAAGUUACCUCCGGGACAACUGGCUUGUGGCUGCUAAGAGAUCAAAUCAACGCAGCUUUUUGAUUCUUCGAUGUCGGCUCUUCCUAUCCUAGUGAUGUACAAGUUGCUAAGGGUCGGAUUGUUCACCCGUAUUAGGGAUCGUGAGCUGGGUUUAGACCGUCGUGAGCCAGGUUUGUUUUAUCCUACUGGAUAUAGCAUCAUGAUAGUAGAUUGAUUUAGUACGAGAGGAACUGUUGAUUAUGGCCUCUGGUUAGCGAUUAUCGGAAACGGUAUGUCGCGCAGCUACGCCGUCUGGGAUAAUGGCUGAAAGCCUCUUAAGCCAGAAGCCCAUCUAGAAAGUGAUGCACGUGAUGUUGGACCGAUACGAAUAAUCAUACUCAAAAGGUCCGCUUCAUAGGUAACCCAAUGUAGAAGACAUUGUGUGAACGAAGGUACUGUAAGCAGUGGAGUGGCAUUACGUCCACGACCUGUUGAGGUUCAGCUUCGCUUCUAGGUUUCC
rnacentral:ncRNA from 1 species